rnacentral:rRNA from 1 species
AACAGCUCAAAUUUGAAAUCUGGCCCUCGGGUCCGAGUUGUAAUUUGCAGAGGAUGCUUUGGGCGCGGUGCCUUCCGAGUUCCCUGGAACGGGACGCCUUAGAGGGUGAGAGCCCCGUACGGUUGGACACCAAGCCCCUGUAAAGCUCCUUCGACGAGUCGAGUAGUUUGGGAAUGCUGCUCUAAAUGGGAGGUAAAUUUCUUCUAAAGCUAAAUACCGGCCAGAGACCGAUAGCGCACAAGUAGAGUGAUCGAAAGAUGAAAAGCACUUUGAAAAGAGGGUUAAAUAGCACGUGAAAUUGUUGAAAGGGAAGCGUUUGCGACCAGACCUUUUCCUGGCGGAUCAUCCGGUGUUCUCACCGGUGCACUUCGCCAGGUCGAGGCCAGCAUCGGUUUCCGCGGGGGGAUAAAAGCUCUGGGAACGUAGCUCCUCCGGGAGUGUUAUAGCCCUCUGCACAAUACCCUCGCGGGGACCGAGGACCGCGCCCUCUGGGCAAGGAUGCUGGCGUAAUGGUCGUCAACGACCCGUCUUGAAACACGGACCAAGGAGUCGAACAUUUGUGCGAGUGUUUGGGUGUCAAACCCUCACGCGUAAUGAAGGUGAACGUAGGUGAGAGCCCUUACGGGCGCAUCAUCGACCGAUCCUGAUGUCUUCGGAUGGAUUUGAGUAGGAGCAUAACUGUUCGGACCCGAAAGAUGGUGAACUAUGCGUGGAUAGGGUGAAGCCAGAGGAAACUCUGGUGGAGGCUCGCAGCGGUUCUGACGUGCAAAUCGAUCGUCAAAUCUGCGCAUGGGGGCGAAAGACUUAUCGAACCAUCUAGUAGCUGGUUACCGCCGAAGUUUCCCUCAGGAUAGCAGUGUUGUUCUUCAGUUUUAUGAGGUAAAGCGAAUGAUUAGGGACUCGGGGGCGCUUUUUUGCCUUCAUCCAUUCUCAAACUUUAAAUAUGUAAGAAGCCCUUGUUGCUUAGUUGAACGUGGGCAUUCGAAUGUACCAACACUAGUGGGCCAUUUUUGGUAAGCAGAACUGGCGAUGCGGGAUGAACCGAACGCGGGGUUAAGGUGCCGGAGUGGACGCUCAUCAGACACCACAAAAGGUGUUAGCACAUUUAGACAAUAGGACGGUGGCCAUGGAAGUCGGAAUCCGCUAAGGACUGUGUAACAACUCACCUAUCGAAUGUGCUAGCCCUGAAAAUGGAUGGCGCUCAAGCGUCCCACCCAUACCUCGCCCUCA